rnacentral:ribozyme from 21 species
UGUUCACGCAGCUUUUUUUUUCUUUUUUCUUUUUUUUUUUUUUUUUCUUUUUUGGUUUCGUUGGAGAAAGAUGGGAGAGGGGGGGAAAGGAAGCGCAAAAAAAAAGGAAA